UACGGAGGGUGCAAGCGUUAUCCGGAUUCACUGGGUUUAAAGGGUGCGUAGGUGGGUCUGUAAGUCAGUGGUGAAAUCUCCGAGCUUAACUCGGAAACUGCCAUUGAUACUAUAGGUCUUGAAUUAUCUGGAGGUGAGCGGAAUAUGUCAUGUAGCGGUGAAAUGCUUAGAUAUGACAUAGAACACCAAUUGCGAAGGCAGCUCACUACGGAUAUAUUGACACUGAGGCACGAAAAGCGUGGGGAUCGAAACAAGG
rnacentral:rRNA from 1 species